rnacentral:rRNA from 1 species
UUAAGUGAAUAAGGGCGCACGGUGGAUGCCUUGGUACUAGGAGCCGAAGAAGGACGGAACUAACACCGAUAUGCUUUGGGGAGCUGUAAGUAAGCUAAGAUCCAAAGAUUUCCGAAUGGGGGAACCCAACACCUUUCAUAGGGUGUUACCAAUGAGUGAAUACAUAGCUCAUUAGGAGGUACACGCAGGGAACUGAAACAUCUCAUUACCUGCAGGAAGAGAAAGAAAAAUCGAUUCCCUGAGUAGCGGCGAGCGAAACGGGAGGAGCCCAAACCAACGAGCUUGCUUGUUGGGGUUGUAGGACUAGAACGUGAGAAGAAAUCAAGAUAGCAGAAGUGGUCUGGAAAGGCCCAUCAAAGAAGGUGACAAUCCUGUACGCGACAUCUUGAUGAACUCUACUAGCAUCCUGAGUACGGCGGGACACGAGGAAUCCCGUCGGAAUCCGCCAGGACCAUCUGGCAAGGCUAAAUACUACCUAGUGACCGAUAGUGAACCAGUACCGUGAGGGAAAGGUGAAAAGAACCCCGGGAGGGGAGUGAAAGAGUACCUGAAACCGUGUGCUUACAAGUAGUCAGAGCCCGUUAAUGGGUGAUGGCGUGCCUUUUGUAGAAUGAACCGGCGAGUUACGAUAUGAUGCGAGGUUAAGUUGAAGAGACGGAGCCGUAGGGAAACCGAGUCUUAAUAGGGCGCAUUAGUAUCAUGUCGUAGACCCGAAACCAUGUGACCUACCCAUGAGCAGGUUGAAGGUGAGGUAAAACUCACUGGAGGACCGAACCAGGGCACGUUGAAAAGUGCUUGGAUGACUUGUGGGUAGCGGAGAAAUUCCAAACGAACUUGGAGAUAGCUGGUUCUCUCCGAAAUAGCUUUAGGGCUAGCGUCGACAUUAAGAUUCUUGGAGGUAGAGCACUGUUUGGGUGAGGGGUCCAUCCCGGAUUACCAAUCUCAGAUAAACUCCGAAUGCCAAUGAAUUAUGGUCGGCAGUCAGACUGCGAGUGCUAAGAUCCGUAGUCGAAAGGGAAACAGCCCAGACCACCAGCUAAGGUCCCAAAAUAUAUGUUAAGUGGAAAAGGAUGUGGGGUUGCACAGACAACUAGGAUGUUAGCUUAGAAGCAGCUAUUCAUUCAAAGAGUGCGUAAUAGCUCACUAGUCGAGUGACCCUGCGCCGAAAAUGUACCGGGGCUAAAACAUAUUACCGAAGCUGUGGAUACCUUUAUAGGUAUGGUAGGAGAGCGUUCUAUGUGCGAAGAAGGUGUACCGUGAGGAGUGCUGGAGCGCAUAGAAGUGAGAAUGCCGGUAUGAGUAGCGAAAGACAGGUGAGAAUCCUGUCCACCGUAAGACUAAGGUUUCCAGGGGAAGGCUCGUCCGCCCUGGGUUAGUCGGGACCUAAGGAGAGACCGAAAGGUGUAUCCGAUGGACAACAGGUUGAUAUUCCUGUACUAGAGUAUGUAGUGAAGGAGGGACGCAGUAGGCUAACUAAAGCGUGCGACUGGAAGUGCACGUCUAAGCAGUGAGGUGUGAAUUGAGUUAAAUGCUUAAUUCUAUAACAUUGAGCUGUGAUGGGGAGCGAAGUUUAGUAGCGAAGUUAGUGACGUCACACUGCCAAGAAAAGCUUCUAGCGUUAAUCAUACUCUACCCGUACCGCAAACCGACACAGGUAGUCGAGGCGAGUAGCCUCAGGUGAGCGAGAGAACUCUCGUUAAGGAACUCGGCAAAAUGACCCCGUAACUUCGGGAGAAGGGGUGCUGGUAGCAAUACCAGCCGCAGUGAAUAGGCCCAGGCGACUGUUUAUCAAAAACACAGGUCUCUGCAAAAUCGAAAGAUGACGUAUAGGGGCUGACGCCUGCCCGGUGCUGGAAGGUUAAGAGGAGAGGUUAGCGCAAGCGAAGCUUUGAAUUGAAGCCCCAGUAAACGGCGGCCGUAACUAUAACGGUCCUAAGGUAGCGAAAUUCCUUGUCGGGU